CNACCUGCCGAUAACUCGGGGAUAGNCUUUCNAAGGAAAGAUUAAUAUCCGAUGGUAUAUUAAAACCGCAUGGUUUUACUAUUAAAGAAUUUCGGUUAUCGAUGGGGAUGCGUUCCAUUAGUUUGUUGGCGGGGUAACGGCCCNCCNAGACUACNAUGGAUAGGGGUUCUGAGAGGAAGGUCCCCCNNAUUGGUACUGAGACACGGACCANACUCCUACGGGAGGCAGCAGUGAGGAAUAUUGGUCAAUGGGCGAGAGCCUGAACCAGCCNAGUAGCGUGAAGGAUGAAGGUCCUAUGGAUUGUAAACUUCUUUUAUAGUAGAAUAAAGUGAUCCNCGUGUGGAUUUUUGUAUGUAUACUAUGAAUAAGGAUCGGCUAACUCCGUGCCAGCNGCCGCGGUAAUACGGAGGAUCCGAGCGUUAUCCGGAUUUAUUGGGUUUAAAGGGAGCGUAGGUGGACGGUUAAGUCNGUUGUGAAAGUUUGCGGCUCNACCGUAAAAUUGCAGUUGAUACUGGCUGUCUUGAGUACNGUAGAGGUGGGCGGAAUUCNUGGUGUAGCGGUGAAAUGCUUAGAUAUCNCNAAGAACUCNNAUUG
rnacentral:rRNA from 1 species